GAUGAAGCGGCUUCAUGCUAGCUUUACACGCAAGGAUGGACAGCUACGUUUUAUUCAAAGGAGCCAAACGAGUGACCCUUACGGAUGACAACAUGACAACCGAAAUCUUCAGGUAUGCUCAUUAUUUCUAAAAUAAGCCAUAUGUUCCUCGUCAAGUUCCACAUGCUCGUGUUAUUUUACAGGCUAAUUAGCCUCACUAGCUAACUGUGUGGUAAAGCCCUCCUCUCUCUCCACGUUUAUAAAGGUUCAUGGCCUGAGCCUUUACAUUACUGAUGACAGCAACGCGGCCGUGUUUCCUACAAUCAGCAUUUCAGAUCUAGUCGUGAGGGGGCAUUAUUGAAGUGCAUGGGGACAGCAUCUGCGUGGAGAACUCGACAGGUGCGCCCCCGGGAACUCACACCCUAGCCGCUUUUUUGUUCCACCGCCUACCAAGC